rnacentral:rRNA from 1 species
UACGUAGGUGGCGAGCGUUGUCCGGAUUUAUUGGGCGUAAAGCGCGCGCAGGCGGUGCGCUAAGUCGGCGGUGAAAGCGUCCCGCUCAACGGGGCGAGGUCCGGCGAGACUGGCGGACUGGAGGCAGGCAGAGGCCGGUGGAAUUCCCGGUGUAGUGGUGAAAUGCGUAGAGAUCGGGAGGAACACCCGUGGCGAAGGCGGCCGGCUGGGCCUGGCCUGACGCUGAGGUGCGACAGCGUGGGGAGCGAACCGG